rnacentral:rRNA from 1 species
CGGGACACGUGGUAUCCUGUCUGAAUAUGGGGGGACCAUCCUCCAAGGCUAAAUACUCCUGACUGACCGAUAGUGAACCAGUACCGUGAGGGAAAGGCGAAAAGAACCCCGGCGAGGGGAGUGAAAAAGAACCUGAAACCGUGUACGUACAAGCAGUGGGAGCACGCUUAGGCGUGUGACUGCGUACCUUUUGUAUAAUGGGUCAGCGACUUAUAUUCUGUAGCAAGGUUAACCGAAUAGGGGAGCCGAAGGGAAACCGAGUCUUAACUGGGCGUUAAGUUGCAGGGUAUAGACCCGAAACCCGGUGAUCUAGCCAUGGGCAGGUUGAAGGUUGGGUAACACUAACUGGAGGACCGAACCGACUAAUGUUGAAAAAUUAGCGGAUGACUUGUGGCUGGGGGUGAAAGGCCAAUCAAACCGGGAGAUAGCUGGUUCUCCCCGAAAGCUAUUUAGGUAGCGCCUCGUGAAUUCAUCUCCGGGGGUAGAGCACUGUUUCGGCAAGGGGGUCAUCCCGACUUACCAACCCGAUGCAAACUGCGAAUACCGGAGAAUGUUAUCACGGGAGACACACGGCGGGUGCUAACGUCCGUCGUGAAGAGGGAAACAACCCAGACCGCCAGCUAAGGUCCCAAAGUCAUGGUUAAGUGGGAAACGAUGUGGGAAGGCCCAGACAGCCAGGAUGUUGGCUUAGAAGCAGCCAUCAUUUAAAGAAAGCGUAAUAGCUCACUGGUCGAGUCGGCCUGCGCGGAAGAUGUAACGGGGCUAAACCAUGCACCGAAGCUGCGGCAGCGACGCUGAUGCGUUGUUGGGUAGGGGAGCGUUCUGUAAGCCUGUGAAGGUGUGCUGUGAGGCAUGCUGGAGGUAUCAGAAGUGCGAAUGCUGACAUAAGUAACGAUAAAGCGGGUGAAAAGCCCGCUCGCCGGAAGACCAAGGGUUCCUGUCCAACGUUAAUCGGGGCAGGGUGAGUCGACCCCUAAGGCGAGGCCGAAAGGCGUAGUCGAUGGGAAACAGGUUAAUAUUCCUGUACUUGGUGUUACUGCGAAGGGGGGACGGAGAAGGCUAUGUUGGCCGGGCGACGGUUGUCCCGGUUUAAGCGUGUAGGCUGGUUUUCCAGGCAAAUCCGGAAAAUCAAGGCUGAGGCGUGAUGACGAGGCACUACGGUGCUGAAGCAACAAAUGCCCUGCUUCCAGGAAAAGCCUCUAAGCAUCAGGUAACAUCAAAUCGUACCCCAAACCGACACAGGUGGUCAGGUAGAGAAUACCAAGGCGCUUGAGAGAACUCGGGUGAAGGAACUAGGCAAAAUGGUGCCGUAACUUCGGGAGAAGGCACGCUGAUAUGUAGGUGAAGCGACUUGCUCGUGGAGCUGAAAUCAGUCGAAGAUACCAGCUGGCUGCAACUGUUUAUUAAAAACACAGCACUGUGCAAACACGAAAGUGGACGUAUACGGUGUGA